rnacentral:rRNA from 1 species
GAUGAACGCUGGCGGCGUGCCUAAUACAUGCAAGUCGAGCGAACAGACGAGGAGCUUGCUCCUCUGACGUUAGCGGCGGACGGGUGAGUAACACGUGGAUAACCUACCUAUAAGACUGGGAUAACUUCGGGAAACCGGAGCUAAUACCGGAUGAUAUAUUGAACCGCAUGGUUCAAUAGUGAAAGACGGUUUUGCUGUCACUUAUAGAUGGAUCCGCGCCGCAUUAGCUAGUUGGUAAGGUAACGGCUUACCAAGGCGACGAUGCGUAGCCGACCUGAGAGGGUGAUCGGCCACACUGGAACUGAGACACGGUCCAGACUACUACGGGAGGCAGCAGUAGGGAAUCUUCCGCAAUGGGCGAAAGCCUGACGGAGCAACGCCGCGUGAGUGAUGAAGGUCUUCGGAUCGUAAAACUCUGUUAUUAGGGAAGAACAAAUGUGUAAGUAACUAUGCACGUCUUGACGGUACCUAAUCAGAAAGCCACGGCUAACUACGUG